rnacentral:lncRNA from 1 species
GUCCACCAUUGUACCGGCAAAAAUCAAGGACGAGAAAAAAAACGAUCGGCGAUUACUAAAAAAGUCGCCUGGGCCAAAGUGUGCGGUGAAAAAAAGGAGCGCAGCGCGCGGCAACAGGCGCCUGCCUAGUCGGCAGCGAUGCCGCCGAGAACCGACCAAUCCGCCGUGUUGCGCGCUCCGGCGCGCCCCUGAAAAAAUGUGGCAGGACCCCCAAACAUCCAAAGCAAGGCGUAAUGUGACAACCGUCCGCCCUUUUGUUCGCCCGUCGUGGGUCUCGACCGCAGGGCCAAGGAAAGACGACCGGAUGGAAAAAAAGACUACGUGCCAUUGGGCGGCUGUGGACUCAAUUUUUGGUUGCCGUGUGUCUUUUUUUGUUUGCCUUUCUUUAUUCCGAAAAAAAAUUGCGCCGGGCUCUUGGUGCUGCAACAAACUUGGAGCCGGACCGUCG